GCCUGGCUGGCUCAGUCAGAAGAGUGUGAGACUCUUGAUCUCAGGGUCAUGAGUUCAAGCCCCAUGAUGGGCC
rfam:Felis catus isolate Cinnamon breed Abyssinian chromosome A3, whole genome shotgun sequence.